GGUAAAUGUUUCAUGAUAAUGGGUUAGGUAAAUGUUUCAUGAUAAGAAAUUCAUGUCUUUUGUAUUAAAGAAUUAAAUGGAUGAAAUAUGAAGUUUUAUUAAAAGAAAAAGGGGUGAAAAGAACAAAGUUUUGUCCAUCUUUGUUCAUCCUAGCCUAAAGUUAGAGAAGAGAAAGGAGAGGAGAAAGCUCUUAAAUGUUCGGUCACUUGGGGAAGAAAAUUGAAGGCGGUUCGUGUGUGGAUCUCAUCAGCAUAUCGUCGCAAACAGGUGUGUAACUAACACCCUCUUUCUUAGUCUAGAUCGGCAAAAGCCGAAAAGCCGAAAUGCCGAAAAUCGGUAUUUUGUAGAUUUGCAAGUGUGCAAAUGCUCGUGAGGUAAAUCGAUUAAUGUUUUUGGUAAGCUGCAAUGCUUGGACUGCAAAG